rnacentral:rRNA from 1 species
UACAGAGGUGCCGAGCGUUAGGCGGAAUCACUGGGCUUAAAGCGUGUGUAGGCGGAUGCCUAAGUACCUUGUGAAAUCCCCCGGCUUAACCGGGGAACUGCUUGGUAUACUGGGUGUCUUGAGCCACUUAGGGGCGACCGGAACAAACGGUGGAGCGGUGAAAUGCGUAGAUAUCGUUUGGAACGCCGAUGGCGAAGGCAGCCCCCUGGGCUGAGAUUGACGCUCAGGCACGAAAGCGUGGGGAGCAAACAGG